CACCAGCCCCUCGAGUGGUGGGGAUGAUUAUUUGGCCUAAAGCGUCCGUAGCCGGCCGGGUAAGUUUCCCGUUAAAUCCAACGUCUCAAGCGUUGGACCGCGGGAAAUACUGCCUGGCUAGAGAGUGGGAGAGGUAAGCGGUAUUCUGGGGGUAGGGGCGAAAUCCUUUGAUCCCCGGAGGACCACCAGUGGCGAAGGCUGCUUACUAGAACACGUCUGACGGUCAGGGACGAAAGCUGGGGUAGCGAACCGGAUUAGAUACCCGGGUAGUCCCAGCUGUAAACGAUGCAUGCUAGGUGUUGGGUUGGCCACGAGCCACCCCAGUGCCGCAGGGAAGCCGUUAAGCAUGCUGCCUGGGAAGUACGAUCGCAAGAUUGAAACUUAAAGGAAUUGGCGGGGAGCACCACCAGGCGUGAAGCCUGCGGUUU
rnacentral:rRNA from 1 species